AGAGUUUGAUCAUGGCUCAGAUUGAACGCUGGCGGCAGGCUUAACACAUGCAAGUCGAACGGUAGCGGGGGGAAGCUUGCUUUCUCCCGCGAGAGUGGCGGACGGGGGAGUAAUGCUUGGGGAUCUGGCUUAUGGAGGGGGAUAACGACGGGAAACUGUCGCUAAUACCGCGUAGUGUCGAGAGACGAAAGUGCGGGACCUAAGGGCCGCAUGCCAUAAGAUGAACCCAAGUGGGAUUAGGUAGUUGGUAGGGUAAUGGCCUACCAAGCCUGCGAUCUCUAGCUGGUCUGAGAGGAUGGCCAGCCACACUGGAACUGAGACACGGUCCAGACUCCUACGGGAGGCAGCAGUGGGGAAUAUUGCGCAAUGGGGGGAACCCUGACGCAGCCAUGCCGCGUGAAUGAAGAAGGCCUUCGGGUUGUAAAGUUCUUUCGGUGGUGAGGAAGGCGUGAUGUUGAAUAGGCAUCACGAUUGACGUUAAUCACAGAAGAAGCACCGGCUAACUCCGUGCCAGCAGCCGCGGUAAUACGGAGGGUGCGAGCGUUAAUCGGAAUAACUGGGCGUAAAGGGCACGCAGGCGGUUAUUUAAGUGAGGUGUGAAAUCCCCGGGCUUAACCUGGGAAUUGCAUUUCAGACUGGGUAACUAGAGUACUUUAGGGAGGGGUAGAAUUCCACGUGUAGCGGUGAAAUGCGUAGAGAUGUGGAGGAAUACCGAAGGCGAAGGCAGCCCCUUGGGGAUGUACUGACGCUCAUGUGCGAAAGCGUGGGGAGCAAACAGGAUUAGAUACCCUGGUAGUCCACGCUGUAAACGCUGUCGAUUUGGGGAUUGGGUUUUAUACUUGGUGCCCGAAGCUAACGUGAUAAAUCGACCGCCUGGGGAGUACGGCCGCAAGGUUAAAACUCAAAUGAAUUGACGGGGGCCCGCACAAGCGGUGGAGCAUGUGGUUUAAUUCGAUGCAACGCGAAGAACCUUACCUACUCUUGACAUCCUAAGAAGAACUCAGAGAUGAGUUUGUGCCUUCGGGAGCUUAGAGACAGGUGCUGCAUGGCUGUCGUCAGCUCGUGUUGUGAAAUGUUGGGUUAAGUCCCGCAACGAGCGCAACCCUUAUCCUUUGUUGCCAGCG
rnacentral:rRNA from 1 species